rnacentral:rRNA from 1 species
UACGGAAGGCAGCAGUGGGGAAUAUUGCACAAUGGGCGCAAGCCUGAUGCAGCCAUGCCGCGUGUAUGAAAAAGGCCUUCGGGUUGUAAAGUACUUUUCAGUCGUGAGGAAGGUGUUAAGGUUAAUAACCUUAGCAAUUGACGUUAGCGACAGAAGAAGCACCGGCUAACUCCGUGCCAGCAGCCGCGGUAAUACGGAGGGUGCGAGCGUUAAUCGGAAUUACUGGGCGUAAAGGGCACGCAGGCGGUUAAUUAAGUUGGAUGUGAAAUCCCCGGGCUUAACCUGGGAAUGGCAUUCAAGACUGGUUAGCUAGAGUCUUGUAGAGGGGGUAGAAUUCCAUGUGUAGCGGUGAAAUGCGUAGAGAUGUGGAGGAAUACCGGUGGCGAAGGCGGCCCCUGGACAAAGACUGACGCUCAUGUGCGAAAGCGUGGGGAGCAAACAGGGAUUAGAUACC